rnacentral:lncRNA from 1 species
AUAUAUAUAUAGUCCGGCUAGUAUACUAUCGGUAGCGAGGUCUCCGUGCUAAUAAGUUGUUUUCAAUGCCGUUUUCAAAUUGACGAUCGGCUUCGUUAGACUUGAUCUACACUAUUAAAAGUAUUUGAAAACUAAAUUUUAUAAUUUUUUAGUAUCAUUUGCCUAUCAAAUAAGUAGUCUAAAAAUGAACAGCUGAAAAUAAAAAUCUCAUAAAAAAUGAUGAUAGAAUACUUGAAUUUAAGAUCAGUGGUACUGAUCUUACUCUAAAUAGUAAAAAAAAAAAUUCUAUAAAAAUUUCAUCUGAUUUGGAUUGUUUUACACCAUUAAAUUUACAAAUGUAUCACAUCUACCAUUAAAAUUGCCAAUUUUGAGACCUUUUGAUAACUAGCCAAAUAAUGUCGAAAAAUUAUGAAAUUUAGUUUUUAAAUAUUUUUAAUAGUGUAAAUCAAGUGUAACAGAGCAGAUCGUCAAUUUGGAAGCGGCAUCAUUGAAAACAACUUGAUAUCACGGAGGCCGUGCUACCGAUAAUAUA